UGGGGAAUAUUGGACAAUGGGCGAAAGCCUGAUCCAGCCAUGCCGCGUGUGUGAAGAAGGCCUUCGGAUUGUAAAGCACUUUAAGUUGGGAGGAAGGGCAUUAACCUAAUACGUUAGUGUUUUGACGUUACCGACAGAAUAAGCACCGGCUAACUCUGUGCCAGCAGCCGCGGUAAUACAGAGGGUGCAAGCGUUAAUCGGAAUUACUGGGCGUAAAGCGCGCAUAGGUGGUUUGUUAAGUUGGAUGUGAAAGCCCCGGGCUCAACCUGGGAACUGCAUCCAAAACUGGCAAGCUAGAGUACGGUAGAGGGUGGUGGAAUUUCCUGUGUAGCGGUGAAAUGCGUAGAUAUAGGAAGGAACACCAGUGGCGAAGGCGACCACCUGGACUGAUACUGACACUGAGGUGCGAAAGCGUGGGGAGCAAACA
rnacentral:rRNA from 1 species